CCUACGGGUGGCAGCAGUGGGGAAUAUUGCGCAAUGGGCGAAAGCCUGACGCAGCCAAGUAGCGUGAAGGAUGACUGCCCUCUGGGUUGUAAACUUCUUUUAUAAAGGAAUAAAACGCGGCACGUGUGCCUUUUGGCCUGUACUUUAUGAAUAAGGAUCGGCUAACUCCGUGCCAGCGGCCGCGGUAAUACGGAGGAUCCGAGCGUUAUCCGGAUUUAUUGGGUUUAAAGGGAGCGUAGAUGGGUUGUUAAGUCAGUUGUGAAAGUUUGCGGCUCAACCGUAAAAUUGCAAUUGAUACUGGCAGUCUUGAGUACAGUUGAGGUAAGCGGAAUUCGUGGUGUAGCGGUGAAAUGCUUAGAUAUCACGAAGAACCCCGAUUGCGAAGGCAGCUUACUAAACUGUGACUGACAUUGAUGCUCGAAAGUGUGGGGAGCAAACAGGAUUAGAUACCCCAAUAGUC
rnacentral:rRNA from 1 species